rnacentral:rRNA from 1 species
UUGGGACCCCCGGGGGUCUAUAAUGCAGUCGAGCGGCAGAUGGGAGCUUGCUCCCUGAUGUUAGCGGCGGACGGGUGAGUAACACGUGGGUAACCUGCCUGUAAGACUGGGAUAACUCCGGGAAACCGGGGCUAAUACCGGAUGGUUGUUUGAACCGCAUGGUUCAGACAUAAAAGGUGGCUUCGGCUACCACUUACAGAUGGACCCGCGGCGCAUUAGCUAGUUGGUGAGGUAACGGCUCACCAAGGCGACGAUGCGUAGCCGACCUGAGAGGGUGAUCGGCCACACUGGGACUGAGACACGGCCCAGACUCCUACGGGAGGCAGCAGUAGGGAAUCUUCCGCAAUGGACGAAAGUCUGACGGAGCAACGCCGCGUGAGUGAUGAAGGUUUUCGGAUCGUAAAGCUCUGUUGUUAGGGAAGAACAAGUGCCGUUCAAAUAGGGCGGCACCUUGACGGUACCUAACCAGAAAGCCACGGCUAACUACGUGCCAGCAGCCGCGGUAAUACGUAGGUGGCAAGCGUUGUCCGGAAUUAUUGGGCGUAAAGGGCUCGCAGGCGGUUUCUUAAGUCUGAUGUGAAAGCCCCCGGCUCAACCGGGGAGGGUCAUUGGAAACUGGGGAACUUGAGUGCAGAAGAGGAGAGUGGAAUUCCACGUGUAGCGGUGAAAUGCGUAGAGAUGUGGAGGAACACCAGUGGCGAAGGCGACUCUCUGGUCUGUAACUGACGCUGAGGAGCGAAAGCGUGGGGAGCGAACAGGAUUAGAUACCCUGGUAGUCCACGCCGUAAACGAUGAGUGCUAAGUGUUAGGGGGUUUCCGCCCCUUAGUGCUGCAGCUAACGCAUUAAGCACUCCGCCUGGGGAGUACGGUCGCAAGACUGAAACUCAAAGGAAUUGACGGGGGCCCGCACAAGCGGUGGAGCAUGUGGUUUAAUUCGAAGCAACGCGAAGAAACCUUACCAGGUCUUGACAUCCUCUGACAAUCCUAGAGAUAGGACGUCCCCCUUCGGGGGCAGAGUGAACAGGUGGUGCAUGGGUUGUCGUCAGCUCGUGUCGUGAGAUGUUGGGAUAAGUCCCGCACGAAGCGGCAACCAGGAUCGAAGCUGGCCAGCAUUCAGUUGGUACUUCUACGCUGACCUACCUGGGUGACCAAAAUCCU